AUUGAACGCUGGCGGCAGGCCUAACACGUGCAAGUCGAGCGGAUGAAGGGAGCUUGCUCCUGGAUUCAGCGGCGGACGGGUGAGUAAUGCCUAGGAAUCUGCCUGGUAGUGGGGGAUAACGUCCGGAAACGGGCGCUAAUACCGCAUACGUCCUGAGGGAGAAAGUGGGGGAUCUUCGGACCUCACGCUAUCAGAUGAGCCUAGGUCGGAUUAGCUAGUUGGUGGGGUAAAGGCCUACCAAGGCGACGAUCCGUAACUGGUCUGAGAGGAUGAGCAGUCACACUGGAACUGGGACACGGUCCAGACUCCUACGGGAGGCAGCAGUGGGGAAUAUUGGACAAUGGGCGAAAGCCUGAUCCAGCCAUGCCGCGUGUGUGAAGAAGGUCUUCGGAUUGUAAAGCACUUUAAGUUGGGAGGAAGGGCAGUAAGUUAAUACCUUGCUGUUUUGACGUUACCAACAGAAUAAGCACCGGCUAACUUCGUG
rnacentral:rRNA from 1 species